GAGAAGUGAGGUAGAGAUGAUAGUGUUCCUACGCACCCAUGAGGUAGAAGAGAUGACGGGACAGACACACCGUCCACUACUC
ncrna:unclassified sequences skipping-rope RNA